rnacentral:rRNA from 1 species
CUGCUCGAUGCGUAUUAUGUAAAUGGCCGCGGUAUUCUGACCGUGCUAAGGUAGCAUAAUCAUUUGUCUCUUGAUUAGAGGCUGGUAUGAAUGGCAAGACGAGAAGGUAACUGUCUCUUUUAUGAAUCUUGAAUUUCACUUCUGGGUGAAAAGGCCCAGAUAAGUUUAAAGGACGAUCAGACCCUACAGAGCUUAUUGGUUGGGGCGACAAAGAGAAUAAAAUAACACUCUUUUUAAUUACCACUAAUUAGUGAAUUAUUGAUCCCCAAAGAGGGAUUAAAAGACUAAGUUACCUUAGGGAUAACAGCGUAAUAUUCUUGGAGAGUUCUAAUCGAUAAGAAAGUUUGCGACCUCGAUGUUGGAUUAAGAAAUUAGCGAGGUGCAGAAGCUUCGCCGUAAAGUCUGUUCGACUUUUAAUAUCUUACG